rnacentral:rRNA from 1 species
UACGAAGGUUGCAAGCGUUAUCCGGAAUUAUUGGGCGUAAAGAGUGAGCAGGUGGCUUAUUAAGUUUGGAGUUAAAUCGUUGCGCUUAACGCAAUCACGCUUCAAAAACUGAUAGGCUAGAAUAUGUGAGAGGUAAGUAGAACUCCAUGUGUAGCGGUGAAAUGCGUAGAUAUAUGGAAGAAUACCAGUGGCGAAGGCGGCUUACCAGCACAAUAUUGACACUCAGUCACGAAAGUAUAGGGAGCAAAUA